rnacentral:rRNA from 1 species
AAACUUUCAACAAUGGAUCUCUUGGUUCCGGCAUCGAUGAAGAACGCAGCGAAAUGCGAUAACUAAUGUGAAUUGCAGAAUUCAGUGAAUCAUCGAGUCUUUGAACGCACAUUGCGCCCCCUGGUAUUCCGGGGGGCAUGCCUGUCCGAGCGUCAUUUC